CAGCCUGCCCAGUGAUAAAUUCAACGGCCACGGUACCCUAACCGUGCAAAGGUAGCAUAAUCACUUGUUCUUUAAAUAAGGACUAGUAUCAACGGCACCACGAGGGUUAUACCGUCUCCUUCCUCCAAUCAGUGAAACUGAUCUCCCCGUGAAGAAGCGGGGAUAAAACUAUUAGACGAGAAGACCCCGUGGAGCUUUAUACUUUCGGCAACCAAAUCUCUCACUUCCUUAUAAUCUUAAAGCUUUGCCCACUAGUCUUAGAUUGGGGUGAUCGCGGAGCAAAAAUCAACCUCCAUGACGAACUAUUUUAUCCGAGACUUACAACUCUAAGAAUUAGAACACUAACGCUCAUGACCCGACAAACGAUCAACGAACCAAGUUACCCCGGGGAUAACAGCGCAAUCUACUUCAAGAGCUCAUAUCGACAAGUAGGCUUACGACCUCGAUGUUGGAUCAAGGUACCCCAGUGGUGCAGUCGCUACUAAUGGUU
rnacentral:rRNA from 1 species